rnacentral:lncRNA from 10 species
GUGUCGCGGCGCACGUAGGUCCCCCGACCUGACAGGUGCGCGGCCCGGGCCGGCUGGGCUCUCAGAGCCGAGAGGUGGGGCCCCGACCUGGCCGUGGGGCUGGGCCCGCUCCGUCGCCCCGACCCCGCGUGGUCCGCCAACUCCCUCCUGCGCGCGGAGAGGACGGGCAUUGUUCUCGGGGCCCCGGAGAGCGCGAGAGCGGCCUGAGCCUGGAGGCCAUCCUGCCUGAGAUUCUACCCUUAGAGCUUCAUUCUUUUGUGACUUUCACACCUUUCAGAAACUUGGAGAAAGAUCUGCCCCCAGGUGAGGUUUGGGUAACUCCUCCACUCCCAUCCCCACCUCAGAGGAGGCUUGCUCCACCUCCACUGCCCCUCAGGCCCAAGCUCCUGUCUGGGUCCUCAGCCUCUGUGGAGUUGAGGUCUGUAGCAUAUCUCAAGGGCACUGGGGAGGUGCCGCUGCCCUGCAUCCUCCCAAACCCCACAGCUCCUCUCACCCCUUUUGGUCUCCCUUUUGCCCCCCACCUCCA